GAGGAAUAUUGGUCAAUGGACGGAAGUCUGAACCAGCCAAGUAGCGUGCAGGAUGACGGCCCUAUGGGUUGUAAACUGCUUUUGUAUGGGGAUAAAGUUAGGGACGUGUCCCUAUUUGCAGGUACCAUACGAAUAAGGACCGGCUAAUUCCGUGCCAGCAGCCGCGGUAAUACGGAAGGUCCGGGCGUUAUCCGGAUUUAUUGGGUUUAAAGGGAGUGUAGGCGGUCUGUUAAGCGUGUUGUGAAAUUUAGGUGCUCAACAUUUAACUUGCAGCGCGAACUGUCAGACUUGAGUACACGCAGCGCAGGCGGAAUUCAUGGUGUAGCGGUGAAAUGCUUAGAUAUCAUGAGGAACUCCGAUCGCGAAGGCAGCCUGCGGGAGUGUUACUGACGCUUAAGCUCGAAGGUGCGGGUAUCGAACAGGAUUAGAUACCCUGGUAGUCCGCACUGUAAACGAUGGAUGCCCGCCGUUGGCGCCCUGCGCCUGCGGCCAAGCGAAAGCAUUAAGCAUCCCACCUGGGGAGUACGCCGGCAACGGUG
rnacentral:rRNA from 1 species